rnacentral:rRNA from 1 species
GACGGAGGAGGCUAGCGUUGGUCGGAAUUACUGGGCGUAAAGGGCGUGUAGGCGGCUCUCCAAGUUAGGUGUGAAAGCCCUGGGCUUAACCCAGGAAUUGCGCUUAAUACUGGAGAGCUAGAGGUUGGUAGAGGAAAGUGGAACUCCUAGUGUAGAGGUGAAAUUCAUAGAUAUUAGGAAGAACACCAGAGGCGAAGGCGACUUUCUGGGCCAAUACUGACGCUGAGACGCGAAAGCGUGGGGAGCAAACAGG